rnacentral:rRNA from 1 species
AUGGUUAAAUUUAUGGAAUAUUUCACCGGAUAUGCACUAUCCUACCCAAUUACACAGGAAAUGAUUACUUCUUUCAGGUUUAAGUUAGCUAGCAUACUAUUAUGUUGGAAAACAAACACUGCAGCAAUGACUACAAUCGUUGAAGAAAGUGAGGAUGACACCAAGGGAGAUCCUGAUGAUGUUCAAAUAUUGGAAAGUUUAGAUAAUUUUAAAAAAACAAAACAAAAAUUACCAUUAUCUGUUGAAAAUAAAUACAGAUCACUAAUAUCAGUUCUUUCUAAUAUGACCUUACAUGAGUUAACAGCUGGACUCUGUAGCUUCAUUAAAUCAAUCAAUUACACCGAGAUUUUAGAGUAA